AUGUAAGUUUAGUAGGUCAAUCUAUGAAUAUUGAAAGUUUAAAAACUAAAUUGAAACAUGUGGAAAAGUUUAGUAGGUGAAAGUGUGAAUAUGGAAAGUUUAAAAGUAAAAUUCCAAGUUUGCCCUCCACCUUUUUCUAUAUUUACACCUAACCCACCAUAUGACACCUAGCCAUGCAUGACUAAGCAUGAAAGAAAAGAGUUGUCAUUCAUUUGGUCCAUCAUUGCCGUGGCUACACCAAAAGGAAAGAGAAAAAGCUUUUGCUUUCUUAUCUUCCAUUUCCACCAUAGUUCAUCAAAAAGAUAAAAUCUCCAGCCACACAAAAUCUGUUCUUAAGUGUAAUAACCAGCAAGGAAACCAUAGAAAGGGAGGAAAGAAGGAGAGAAGUUAAGGUGCUUUAGUGAACAAACUCAAAGGGAGGAAGGUACAGCAAAGGGGAAAGGCAAGGAAAGAGAGUAACUAAGGUGUACCUAAAGCUUUUGAAAAGAUUGUGCAAAAGGUAAUAGAUAGAGGAAGCAACAGUUAGGAGGUCUGGUUCUGCAUCAGCACAGAGACAUCAUCAUAACCAGUCAGUCACAAGAUUUGUACAGAGGUUGUUUAUGGUUGGCAUGUACAUUAAUAGUCUACCAAGAGUCUGUAAAUGAGUAUUGUAAAUAGUAUGAAUAUAAACAAA